GAAUAUUCCACUAACUGGCGUCAAGACUGUUAAUACAUUAUUGUGAGUAAACAGUGGCGGAUUUAAGGGGGGAGGCGCAGCCGGCGCACCUCCCCCUAAAAUGUUCCAAUUUAAGGUUGCUUGUAACUUUAAAAUGAUUGACAGCUUGAAAAACAGAUAGCCCUUAUGAACACCAGCGAUUGAAUACAAUCUAUACUUCCUAACAAAUUUAAACAAGAGUGUUUUCUGAGGACGUUCCUGAUACGAGUGUUCGCCAUUAGAAAGUUCCGGGACA